GAAAGUGCAUUAAGAAGCUCCCUGAAAACAUUAGCAUUAAAAUAUUUUCCUGGAAAAGACUGCUGAUCAAGAAAACAAACAAGCAAUCACAAGGACCUAGAACAUCAAACCAGCCACAGAAGUGCACACCUGGAAUCCCAGAGACUGCCCAGAGGCAGGAGGAUUGCAAAUCCGAGGGCAACCUCAGAAGUUUGGUGAGGCCACAAGCAACUUAGUGAGACCCUAUCUCAAAAUAAAAAAUAAAAAGGGCAACGUACAUGUAUAAUGGCAUAAAAUAAUAAUAGUAAUAAUACUAAUAAUAAUAAUAAUAAACAGGGGGCUGGGGAUGUGGCUCAGUGGUUAAAUGCUCUGGGUUCAAUCCCAUAUAUUAAAAAAAAAGAAAAUGUAAUAUUGUGAUAAGUCAUUUA
rnacentral:lncRNA from 1 species